rnacentral:misc_RNA from 1 species
CCGAGUACUACAACUCACAACCCUUUGUGAACCUUCAUACCUGUUGCUUCGGCGGCGCGCCUCCCGGGGCGUGCCCGCCGGCAUUAUCAGAAUCUCUGUUCGAACCCGACGAUACUUCUGAGUGUUCUAAGCGAACUGUUA